GACGAACGCUGGCGGCGUGCUUAACACAUGCAAGUCGAACGGUAAGGCCCUGCUUUUGUGGGGUGCUCGAGUGGCGAACGGGUGAGUAACACGUGAGUAACCUGCCCUUGACUUUGGGAUAACUUCAGGAAACUGGGGCUAAUACCGGAUAGGAGCUCCUGCUGCAUGGUGGGGGUUGGAAAGUUUCGGCGGUUGGGGAAGGACUCGCGGCUUCUCAGCUUGUUGGUGGGGUAGUGGCUUACCAAGGCUUUGCCGGGUAGCCGGCCUGGGAGGGUGACCGGCCACAGUGGGACUAGGGAUCCGGCCAGACCGCUACCGGGGGCAGGAAGGGGGGAUUGUGCGCGAAGGGCCGAAGCCGUGAGGAGCAACGCCGCGUGCGGGAUGACGGCCUUACGGGUGGAAACCGUGUUCGCCUGUAACGAAGCGUGAGUGACGGUAAUGGGUAAAGAAGCACCGGCUAACUACGUG
rnacentral:rRNA from 1 species